GAUGAACGCUAGCGGGAGGCUUAACACAUGCAAGUCGAGGGGCAGCAUAGGGUAGCAAUACUCUGAUGGCGACCGGCAAACGGGUGAGUAACGCGUAUGCAACCUACCCUGUACAGGGGGAUAACCCGGAGAAAUUCGGACUAAUAUCCCGUAAUAAUAUCCGGAGGCAUCUUUGGAUAUUUAAAGUUCCGACGGUACGGGAUGGGCAUGCGUAACAUUAACUGGUUGGUAAGGUAACGGCUUACCAAGGCUAUGAUGUUUAGGGGUCCUGAGAGGGUGGUCCCCCACACUGGUACUGAGACACGGACCAGACUCCUACGGGAGGCAGCAGUGAGGAAUAUUGGUCAAUGGGCGCAAGCCUGAACCAGCCAUCCCCGGUGCAGGAAGACGGCCCUAUGGGUUGUAAACUGCUUUUCCAGGGAGAGAAACUUACGCACGUGUUGCGUGACUGACGGUACCCUGGGAAUAAGCAUCGGCUAACUCCGUGC
rnacentral:rRNA from 1 species